AUGUUGGUAACCCUUGGACUGACAUCUGGACAUGUCGAAAUCUUGGUGCUUGGUAAUGGCUGUAUCAUCUGUUCAGUUUUUCUCAUGCAUGUUUUCCUGCUCCUUGUUUUUCUAAGUUAUUGCUUUUGUGUUACGGGGUCUUGUAAAUGGUCUCGAAGGCUUCUUGCUGAACAAACCUCCUUAAGAUGUUUGGUCAUUCAGCAUUUCUUGCCUGGUUCCGGUGAAUCAAUUAUGCUCUGUUUGUCUUAUUUGUUUGACGCAGUUGACUCCAUUGUGCUGGAAUGUGCGAGUUUCCAAGUAUCAUGCAAUAGGUUUCUUUGUGUUUGGCCUUUUUCUGUUCUGAAGUUUAAAACUGAAGGAAUAUUCCCUCAGUUGUUUACGAGUUGUGUUCAGUAG
rnacentral:rRNA from 1 species